CAACUUUGCUAUCUUAGAACGGAUCACCAGUGAAAGAGGGGAAGUUGCUACUGUGAUGAAUUCUGCCAUGUGGUACCAGACUGCUGCCCAGACCACAGUGUCCUCUGCAACCCUGGUCAAAGCUUCUCAGAUGACCAAGAUGGUGCUGCCGAUGGUGUUGAGGACGGAGAACCCACCAAGCCCCGUUAGGAGCCACCUAGACUGGAUGCAGAGCACAGUGAGCUCCCUGCAGGUUCUCUGAGAAGGGGUGGAUGGCAGCCUGCUCCUUGCCUUUGUGGCCUCCAGACCCCAAAGUCAGGGAACCAAAGGGAGAAAGGGGCCGUAGCUAGGGCAGAGCUCCACUGCAAUGAUUGUUUCAGGGGUAGGAGCCAGGAUUGCUGUCUGUGGACACUGAAAUUUGAAUCUCAUAUAGUUUUCAUGUGUCACAAAACUUUAUUCUUCUUUUGUUCUUCUCCUACCAUCUAAAAAUGUAGAAAACAUUCUUAGCUAUGAGUUGCACAAAAACAGGCAGUGGCCAGAUUUGGUCCAUAGACCAUAGUUUGCUGACUUCUGCCCU
rnacentral:lncRNA from 1 species